AACACGCUCCUUAGAUCCACCUCUGGAGGACCUGGUCCUCAGCAGCUUCUUGCUGUACUGUCGGAGGUGCUUGAGUCAUUGGCGUGUGACAGCAGUCUACCUGCCCCCCCAGCCCAGCUGCAGCGCCGGCCGCCCGGUCCUCUGGGACUGGGAGCUCCCGGCGCUGCCAGUCUGGGGGGCGGACAUC
ensembl:snoRNA